UAACACGUAGGAUGCAAGCGUUAUUCGGAUUUACUGGGCGUAAAGCGCGUGUAGGCGGUUAGGAGAGUUGGAUGUGAAAGCUCCCGGCUUAACUGGGAGAGGUCGUUCAAAACUUCCUGACUAGAGUUUGGUAGAGGAAAAUGGAAUUCCGGGUGUAGUGGUGAAAUGCGUAGAUAUCCGGAGGAACACCAGUGGCGAAAGCGAUUUUCUGGACCGAUACUGACGCUCAGACGCGAAAGCUAGGGUAGCAAACGGG
rnacentral:rRNA from 1 species